UUAACCCACUUAGUUUGGGUGAAUUAUCAGCGAACGAAGAGAGAUAUGAAGAGCAUUCUCAUUAUUGUAAAAACGAAAGAGUAUUCCUUUUUGAUUUUCCUGUUCGUAAAUUGCUGGAUGGUGUUAAUGAAAGAGUAAAUUAUGCUCGAUGAAAAUAAGCCAUGCAUAUUGUCCAUUGUUUACGCAACAUGGCUUAUAUAGGAAGGGAUGCAUCUAAACGACAACCAUUACCCGUGAAAAACAUCCAAUAACCAUUUCUGUCCCAUCCAUGCCAACUGCACUAGUUCUUCACCACUUGCAUUGCUAAAGAGUUAACUCGCUAUUUAUGCUGUUUGUCAUACACCUAUAACAGUGAAGGGCCCCACUAUUAAAUGUGAGAUCAGCUGCUGUAACAUUGCAUGUCACGAUUAGAGGCAGCUCGUUACAUCCGUUUAGCUCGUAUUUAAAGCGCACAAAAGCUAAUAAGUUUGCGCGUGCGCAGUAUUUACAUCGCUAGCGCAUGCUCUCAAUUUUGCGAUCAACGUGUGCAAUUUAGAUGCUAAGAAUUUUAAUGAAGGAAUUGCGCUUGCGAUUUUAAGGUUCUUAAAGGCUGUGCAUUGAUAUUUAAAACUUUCAGCGUUUCUUUAUUUGGUUGAUGCGUUUUGCAAAGUGUUGUGGAACGUGUACAAAAUCAAACAAUUUAAAUUAGUUUGCGUAUUGUAUCGAUCGUUCCCCGUCAAACUAGUGGAUUGUGGCAUGGAUAUCUUCUCCCCCAGUCCACGCUCCACCUCGUACUAUUACCACUUGAAAGCGUGGAUAUUGAGAUGAAGGAAGAUUUCGUUGGUUUGGAAAGAUCAUCAGGAUGUGAAGGUUUAACAGUAUUUCUAUAAUUUUAUAUUUCUUGUCAUUUAUCAUCUUAAGUGUUCUGUCAUUUUUUAUAGAAGAUUGAGUGAUGGCAGUAAACGAUUUUUUAGAUGAUUGCGAGCCACCUUGAUCGACAGAGUCAUGUUAAUAACAGUUGACUACCUAUGUGUUCUUACUAUUUUCUGUUUUACAGGGAUUUUUAAAUCUUUGGGACUAUCAUAAUGAACGUAGUGUGUAAUUACAGCUUCGACGAUGGCGGUUAUGCAAAUAACGAGAAAGCCCUCGAAAGAGCUAAUGAUACUUAACAUUUCAACUCAAAGGCGAUUGAAAAUACGUGACACAAAGUAAUGGUACUUUUCCAAAGAAGUGCCAUUUUUAUCGUUGACGACAUUAUGACGACGUAUGAAAUGACGAUAUUACUCGAAGGCGUUGGUAAUGUGACAUAUGAAGAGAUUGGGAGGUAAUGGAAGUAUAGUAAACGGUUUUGUCGUCUCUAUUAUGAACUUUAUUUCAAAAGUGAGGAUGUUUAUGAAACUGCACGUGGUGAUGUUAGACGGUUGACGGGAUAUACGAAGAAAUCAGCGUCUUGGAAGAAGAUGACUUGGAAAUUAUUCAGGUUCAUAGUUGCGUAGUUGACUUCCGGCAAUACGUCACGUCUAGUAGUCUCACUAAAAAAUGACGCAUGCGUGAGUUUAAUGUAGAUGUGAGUCGAUUUUGAAGUCUGAUGACCUUUUUGCAACGCAGAAAAAAUUUUGCGCGCGUGUGUGCAGUGACGUUUUUUUGACAUCAAUGUUGAGUGAUAAAUCAUAGUUUCGAAACGUCAUUAUCAAAAAUAUCAGUAUUCAUAAAAAACGUUUAGGCUUUCCUGAUCACACCAGUUGCUUUAUGAUUUAGUUGACAUGCAUGGUCGUUCAUGUAUCGUCUUCUUCAUGCUGUUUACGUGUUUCUUUCAAACGAGAAGAAUCAGUUAUCUUUAAGGUGGGGAAUGGAGAAUUUCGUUACCACUAGUUCAUAGAAUAAACAUGUCACGCAAAUUCAUUUAUAGCACAGCUAAUUACCUCAAAAUUGUAGUACCAUGCUGGAAUAUUUCUCUUAACAAUACAUUCAUUAAUGCAAGUUUCAGUGUGUAUAAAAACAAAUCACUGUUUCAUAAAGCUGUCUUUUCUACAGAUGUCAAUUACUUCCUAAGUCAAGUACAAUGCAUGGAUUCAUAGUUUUUAAAGUGUACAAUCAUCGCGACCAAUUGCAAGAAAAUAAAUUUUCACACGUGAGAACCUCCGUUCAAAAGUUAGAACUGAUGAGAAGAACCAAAAAUAGAAUCGUACGAUCAAAUCAACUGAAAAUUUGGAAAUGAACCCGAGUUCUGAAAGCUCCAGAAAGAUGAAAAACGGUACAAUUUUGUGUUGUUUUUCAUUACUACGGUACCUGAAAAAUCUAUGAAAAAUCUUAAAAUUAAAUUAAGCUGAACUUUGCACCUUCAAAGUUAGCGCGUCUGAUCCAUGACAGAGCCUGAGCACUGGAAUUCAAUAACAGACAAAUCUUUCAUAAAUUAAAAAAUUCCAAAAUUAUCAUUACUUCCAAAAAUAUCAACUAAUUUCGUAAAAUUUUCUUUGCGGUCGAAGGGUUUUUUCCCGGAUUCGCUGGUGUUCCCUUCGCUUUCGUUUCGUCUAAAAAGAGUGUCCAAAAUUUGGGGCCAAAGAUUUCUUUGAACAUUCGUGUGCUUUAAAAUGUAACUUUCAUCAACGAGUCGUUCUAUUGCAAACUAGCAAAAUAACAUGGCCUCUGGGUUCAAAUCCCAGAACACCAUAUGAUGGCAAACGAAGGUGAGGUAGUGAUCAGACAAAUAGAUUAGUACGUAGCUAAAUUACGACUGAUUUUAAAAUCAAGCACGCUGUAGGAGUAAACAUUUCGUCCAUUUCGCCGAGCACCUAGGUGCUGCAUAUUUAACUGUAUAACGCUGAAAAUUCAAGCAAUUUCAUUGGUCGAGAACCAUUAUCUACAAGAGGACAGACGCAACGAAUGACGUCACAGAAAAUUGCAUGUUUUUAAUUUAAGUUACAAAACCUUAAAUUUUUUUUUGAAUUUAUCUCUGGGCAUAUGAAGACCUGGACCUAGUCGAGGUAUUUGACGCUUUUGACCCAAAUGAAAAAAUCCUGCUUGGCAAAAACAUAAACAGUUUCCCUGCGUAACUUGGGAAUUUUUUCGAUUUUGUUAUUUUCCAUUUUAUAAUAAGACAAAUAGAUUACAUUAACUUGUUGUGUGUUCAGUUAUAGAUACACGGUACGACGUUGCCCGUGAUAAGAACAAAAAAGUGUCCACGAGGCACUUGAUUAGAUUGCAGGUUGCGUUUGUACAUCCCAGAGUUUCCAUUGGUCGCAAAUGCAAUUGAUUGCCGUCCAUUGUGUUAAUUACAUGUGUAACAAAAUAGACGUGCAUAAAUUUUAAUGGAGUGGCCAUAGUGUGUAUUUUUCUUAUCAGUCCGUGAUGUGAGCUUGGAUAGAUGAGCGUGUUUCACUGAUGUUUGACAUGACUUUGAGGUACGUAAAGGAGUUCAGCGACAAAAAAUUGAGAGACAGAUGAUAUACAUUGGACUUAGUCGAAAACUAUUGCAUCUUUUCAAUUUCAUAUAUUCCGAAAACCAUUUAAUUGGCAGCUACCCAACUGUACAGUCAAAAUGAACAACUGAUUCCAGCUGGUUUUGGCAACACAUCUCACAUAUUUAUUAAAUACUAUUAAUUAUUAAUUGUUAUCAAUUAUUAAUUGUUAUCAAUUAUUCAUUGUUAUCAAUUAUUCAUUGCCUAUUAAAUAUUAAUUACUCUAAAUUACUUGUUAUUUGUUGAUAGUUAAUAGUUUUGAAUACAAAUGUUUUGUUAGUUUAGUAAAUGUACGAAAAAUAAAAACAGACAUAUAUUUAAUAGUUCUUUGUCAUUAGGUUUGCCGUAUCCAAAAAAAUCACGACACCAGUUUAUAUAUGAAUAAAUUGUUCUCUUUGUGUGAAUGUGCUUCGAUUGAAUAUUGCUUUUCGUCGAAAUUACAAUGCCUUCUAGACAACUAUAAAGAGAAUUAUAGCAACAAACGCUACUACGAAGUUGCGAAGAAAGGGAACGAAUGAGCUAGCGUCGUUACCAUCACCAAUUGUAAUUGUCAUAUUUAGAGAAGGUGGUUGGUAAGCCUUUUGUUAUUAAAUGAACUUGUUGCUAACACUGAUGUCAAAGACGUCGUUGGUCUUUGUUGUGGAAGAUUCCUCAAGUAACUUUUAAUUCGUCAGAUGAGAAAUAUUGAGCUAGGAUUGAAAAGCAGUUUCGAUUUGCAAAACCGUUAAAUUGUUUCAUCUGUCUCAACAAUGCAUUUAAGAUAUGAUUGAAUGAGUAGUGUACAAAUGUAUUCUCUGUUUAGUAGUAGAUAACAAUAUUUAAGAUAUGAUUAAAUGAGUAGUGUACAAAUGUAUUCUCUGUUUAGUAGUAGAUAACAACAUUUAAGAUAUGAUUGAAUGAGUAGUGUACAAAUGUAUUCUCUGUUUAGUAGUAGAUAACAACAUUUAAGAUAUGAUUAAAUGAGUAGUGUACAAAUGUA